rnacentral:rRNA from 1 species
UAGGGAAUCUUCCACAAUGGACGAAAGUCUGAUGGAGCAACGCCGCGUGAGUGAUGAAGGGUUUCGGCUCGUAAAACUCUGUUGUUGGAGAAGAACAGGUGAUAGAGCAACUGUUAUCAUCUUGACGGUAUCCAACCAGAAAGCCACGGCUAACUACGUGCCAGCAGCCGCGGUAAUACGUAGGUGGCAAGCGUUGUCCGGAUUUAUUGGGCGUAAAGCGAGCGCAGGCGGUUUUUUAGGUCUGAUGUGAAAGCCUUCGGCUUAACCGGAGAAGGGCAUCGGAAACCGGGAGACUUGAGUGCAGAAGAGGACAGUGGAACUCCAUGUGUAGCGGUGAAAUGCGUAGAUAUAUGGAAGAACACCAGUGGCGAAGGCGGCUGUCUGGUCUGUAACUGACGCUGAGGCUCGAAAGCAUGGG